rnacentral:rRNA from 1 species
UACAGAGGGUGCAACCGUUGCUCGGAAUCAUUGGGCGUAAAGCGCACGUAGGCGGUCCAGCAAGCGGGGAGUGAAAGCCCUCGGCUUAACCGAGGAAGUGCUUUCCGAACUACUGGGCUUGAGUACGCAAGGGGGUCGCGGAAUUCCCGGUGUAGAGGUGAAAUUCGUAGAUAUCGGGAGGAACACCAGUGGCGAAGGCGGCGACCUGGGGCGAUACUGACGCUGAGGUGCGAAAGCGUGGGGAGCAAACAGG